rnacentral:RNase_P_RNA from 1 species
GGAGUCGGCCAGACGAUCGCGGUCGCCGUAAGGCGGCGGAGGAAAGUCCGGGCUCCACAGGGCAGGAGGCCAGGUAACGCCUGGGCGACGCGAGUCGACGGAAAGUGCAACAGAAAGCAAACCGCCUAUGGUGCCGGACCUGUUUCGGUGCCAGGCAAGGGUGAAAGGGUGCGGUAAGAGCGCACCGCGUUUGCGGCAACGCAAACGGCACGGCAAACCCCCUCCGGAGCAAGACCAAAUAGGGAGACGCGCCUCUGGCGACCUGCGGCCCGCAGGUGUCUCCGGGUAGGUCGCACGAGGCGUCCGGAGACGGGCGUCCCAGAUGAAUGAUCGUCCUCGACAGAACCCGGCUUAUCGGCCGACUCCAACA